UACAGAGGUGGCAAGCGUUGUUCGGAAUUACUGGGCGUAAAGCGCGUGUAGGCGGCUUGGCAAGUCGGUUGUGAAGUCCCGGGGCCCAACCCCGGAAUUGCAUCUGAAACUGUCUCGCUAGAGUCCCGGAGAGGAAGGCAGAAUUCCCGGUGUAGGGGUGAAAUCCGUAGAUAUCGGGAGGAAUACCAGCGGCGAAGGCGGCCUUCUGGACGGUGACUGACGCUGAGACGCGAAAGCGUGGGGAGCAAACAGG
rnacentral:rRNA from 1 species